CAGGUUAAUUGAUUUCUGGUGGCUCAUGCGGUGAAAGUAAGCAUCUGUAAUUGUUUAUGCUGAAACAGAUUUCAUUUUUCUGCAUAACCUAUCAAUUUUUCAUGUAAAAGGUUAGGAAUGGAAA